GGCUGGCUGGGCUACGCGCCCGCGGCGGGGAAAUUGGCAAAGGUGUAGAGCCAAGACUGAGGGCUGGCGCUUCGGGGGAGCCUGCGGCUGGACCCCGACGCAUCGAAAGGGUAGUGGUGACCCCGGAGGGGCCCUGUGGGCCUGGGGCCGCCUGGAACCACCUUGAGUCGGCGCGCUGUGGAGCAGGAAGCCCGAGCGCCCUGCGGACCGAGACUGGAUCUACACCGUCCACCCCUGGCGCCCGCAGGAGGAAUGAAGAAGAUUAUGGAAUGGCUUGGAAGAUUGAGAAGGGAAGAAUGAGAAGAUUGAGGUGGCACCAUGGAAGCCAGGCUGGUCCCUUUGUGGAUGGUGAGCAAAUUUGCCUUCAGGCACUCUCACCUACCUCUGACACAUAAAGAAUAUUUUGGGACCUCCUAAAUUUCAAUAGAGUGUGACUGAUAGGAG
rnacentral:lncRNA from 1 species